AGCUCCAAUAGCGUAUAUUAAAGUUGUUGCGGUUAAAAAGCUCGUAGUUGGAUCUACGACCAUGUUCUGUGGUCUUCCAGCUUGGAUGUACUGCAUGAACUGGUCCUUUUGUCUAGUAUUCUAUUGAUGCUCUUCAUUGAGUGUCUCUAGUUGCUGGAACUUUUACCUUGAAAAAAUUGAAGUGCUCAAAGCAGGCUUUCCGCCUGAACAUUGCUGCAUGGGAUAAUAGAAUAGGACUUCGGUUCUAUUUUGUUGGUUUUCGGAACACGAAGUAAUGAUUAAUAGGGACAGACGGGGGCAUUCGUAUUGCUGCGUUAGAGGUGAAAUUCUUGGAUCGUAGCACGACGAACGACUGCGAAAGCAUUUGCCAAGAAUGUUUUCAUUAAUCAAGAACGAAAGU
rnacentral:rRNA from 1 species